GUUUUGGUCCUGAUGGACGCAGCCUCCUGCCAGAUGGAAUGUCAGGGUUAACUGAAGAAAAACAAUCUGCUAGGGAAGACAUCAGAGAAAACACAUAAUCUUUGAAUUAAUUUCUUAAGACCAACCGGAAUAAUAGAGAGAAUUUAGUUGUGUUUUUAUUUUGUAUUAUUUGUAUACCAAUUUACUGCUCCACACUCCAGUCCAGUAGGUGGUGAUAAUGCACCAAAUCGUUGGUUGGCAACCGUCAAAGAAGAAGAAGAAGAAGAAGAAGAAGAAGAAGUUUGACAACCAAGAGAACUUGUUACUCGCUCCGCUCUCUCAACGCGGAAACAGACAGUAGCUGUGAUGCCCAACUGUAUCCACAGAUUUUAGAUUUCGAUCACCUCGACCGAGCAACAGAGAGACGGACAAUAACUUUCUAACGGUGGUGAUUCUACAACUGCAGGAUGCAGCCGGUUGAAGCACAAACAGGUGUUUCUCCCAAAAGCCAGCUGUUUGGUUCUCUGAAGGUGUAUCUGAACAACAAGAACAGAUUACAGCCCAUUAUUGGCCUGGGCAGUAUCAUAGAAUGUGUGAAGGCGGGUACACACAACAGAGAAGUAUUAUACCUAUGUGAGGUAUGUGUCUGUCGACUUAGUAAAGCUGACAUGCGAAACCAUAUUAUGGGAAGUCUCCACAGAUACAACUACAUUAAAGCCUGGUACCCCCACUUAUUGUCUGAAUGGAAGGAGAAGUCAGACCUGUCUAAGCUGGCCUGGCCAUUGAUGGACAUGGCCAAAAUACUUGAGGGAAAAGAGGGACCGGGGGAUAUCCAGUGGUUAGAUUUGGAAGACGCUGUCUACCAGACGAUCGCAACACUCCGUGAGAAUGACGCAGUAACCCUGAUAACUAUCUUCAGAGAGCUACAGGGUAAAGCUGAAAGCCAUUCAGAGACCCCAUCUGUGCAGCUGGAGCACCAUUCCACCCAAUCGCAGAGGGUUGUAUUGCUGUCCGAGGACCAACAAAGACAGUCCAAAAACUCCCUCGAGACCUCAGCAGUGCCAGAGACUAAACAAACUGUAGCUUUUGUAGCAGAACACACUGUGCUAUCCGAAAACAGUUGUCUUGAUGGCUACACAGGAUCCAAUCCUCUUAUUGGUCUUUUCCGCGUCGUUGAAUGUAGAAGUGAAGAUGGCCGCACAUACUGUUUCUUAUGUCACUGCUGCCGCAUCAGAGCCAACGAAAAGGACAUCAUUGAUCACCUAACCAGAUCUUCCCAUAUCGUGAACUACUUGAUGGAAACUCAUCCUGAGCAGGUGGAGGUAAUGAUGGCAGAUAUUAAUGACAACUAUAAGCUUCUCCAAUCACUGGCCAGGAAAGUGGAGCAAGAGGAGGGCAGAGGAGAGCUGAAGGUGGUAAACGCACCAGAAUCCCUCGGUAUCCAACUGACUGGCAAAAGUUACCACUGGUGUGUAAAGAUGCUUUGUAAUGGAUGGACAUGUACUAACACCCAAAAGCAGAAAAUAGCUGUCAAAGGGCCAAAUGUAAACAAGACCUCAGAUCGAGGCAUGCCGGAGAAAUGUGCCGGGCUGCUGUCACAAUGGCCAAAAAGGAUGACGGCAAAGAGGAAAAUGACCAAUCCUGUGUUCAAGGUAAGCCUGCCUCUUUCCAAAGGUGCAAUGCUGCUGGAGAGGAGCUCUUUCAGCGUGGACAGCAUCCCUCUGUCAUCUGCAUACUCUCCUUCAUCUGACUCCGAUCUUCCAGAGUCUCCAGAGUUACAGUCAGAGGACUGUGAGUUGGACUAUGACACUGGAUCAUUUGAAAAUACCCGAGCUGAACAAUCCUCACAACUUCAGCAAGAUGUCUACAGUGGAGAUGCAGAGGCCGAUCAAUACAUGGAAGCAGAAGGACACGGCACAGUCACUCCGUAUCUAGAGGUGGAUGAAUAUUUCAAUGACUAUGAAUACGUCAACCACUUGGAAGACAUAACUGGAACAAAAUACCAAAAGGUUUAUGGGGGAAAUUAUUACAACGGACAACACGGUUCUCAAGUAAGAUCUAGUAAGAGGUUGUACAAAGAGUAA
ensembl:lncRNA uncharacterized LOC115015315